AAUACAUCAGACUUCCAAAACUAAUCUGAUUCAUCAGAAUAUCCAGUGGGAUAUCAAGUGAAAAAUCUGGUUUACUGGGCAUCUUUUAUCUUCUACAUGGUGUACCCUCAUUAGUACACUGGUGACCUGGGUAGCUUAUCUGGUAUUUCUGUUUUCAAGGACAAAGCUUCAGGGUGGCUAAAUUUGAAAAAGAGAGAAAAAGACCUGAUUGAUUUAUUCUUCUCAAAACUGGUAGAAGCAUAAGGUACUAAGGUGCUCCUGACACUUGCUAAUGUUUCCCUACGACUCCCAGCUAAACUUUUCCCACCUGUUGCCUUGUCACAACAAAAUACCUGUGGACUAUGCACAUUAAAGACCAAGCCUGCCUCUGGCAUUAACAGCACAGAAGACAGCAAGCUGAGCCCCUGAGGUGCCUCCAAGAUGCAGCUGCCAAUUUGCAGAAUUGUCUUGAUAGCUAUUGUGACGAAUAAUGGAAAACUAUGAAGAUACACCUGUGAUGCCAUCAGAAAGAAGACAAUGAGCACAAAGAGUCUCACGUACAUAAAGUACAUCAAGUGCAUCAAGUACAGCUUGGCAGAAUGAGCAGAAUUAAGUGAUACUAGGGCACAAACAGCCUUGACAUGCAUUCAAAGGGAAUAAUUGUACUUAGAUUGGUUUCUGAACAGUUCUCUGGAAUGAAAUGUUGAAUGAAAGUGUUGGGGUGUAACUGUAGUCUGUGGAUUAUUAAAUAAAGAUUGUCAAAGAGUUGUGUAGCA
rnacentral:lncRNA from 1 species